rnacentral:rRNA from 1 species
UACGUAGGGUGCAAGCGUUAAUCGGAAUUACUGGGCGUAAAGCGUGCGCAGGCGGUUUUGUAAGUCUGUCGUGAAAGCCCCGGGCUCAACCUGGGAAUUGCGAUGGAGACUGCAAGGCUUGAAUCUGGCAGAGGGGGGUAGAAUUCCACGUGUAGCAGUGAAAUGCGUAGAGAUGUGGAGGAACACCGAUGGCGAAGGCAGCCCCCUGGGUCAAGAUUGACGCUCAUGCACGAAAGCGUGGAGAGCAAACAGG